rnacentral:rRNA from 1 species
AUUGAACGCUGGCGGCAGGCCUAACACAUGCAAGUCGAACGAGUGGCGGACGGGUGAGUAAUGUCUGGGAAACUGCCUGAUGGAGGGGGAUAACUACUGGAAACGGUAGCUAAUACCGCAUACCAUCAGAUGUGCCCAGAUGGGAUUAGAGAGUGGGUGGGGUAUCGGGUCACCAAGGCCACGAUCCCUAGCUGGUCUGAGAGGAUGACCAGCCACACUGGAACUGAGACGCGGUCCAGACUCCUACGGGAGGCAGCAGUGGGGAAUAUUGCACAAUGGGCGCAAGUCUGAUGCAGCCAUGCCGCGUGUAUGAAGAAGGCCUUCGGGUUGUAAAGUACUUUCAGCGGGGAGGCGUUACCCGCAGAGGAAGCACCGGCUAAGGACGUGCCAGCAGCCGCGGUAAUUC